AACUGAAGAGUUUGAUCAUGGCUCAGAUUGAACGCUGGCGGCAGGCUUAACACAUGCAAGUCGAGCGGGGGAAGGUAGCUUGCUACUGGACCUAGCGGCGGACGGGUGAGUAAUGCUUAGGAAUCUGCCUAUUAGUGGGGGACAACAUCUCGAAAGGG
rnacentral:rRNA from 1 species